UACGUAGGGUGCAAGCGUUGUCCGGAAUUAUUGGGCGUAAAGAGCUCGUAGGCGGUUUGUCGCGUCUGCUGUGAAAACCCGAGGCUCAACCUCGGGCCUGCAGUGGGUACGGGCAGACUAGAGUGCGGUAGGGGAGAUUGGAAUUCCUGGUGUAGCGGUGGAAUGCGCAGAUAUCAGGAGGAACACCAAUGGCGAAGGCAGAAUCUCUGGGCCGUAACUGACGCUGAGGAGCGAAAGCAUGGGGAGCGAACAGG
rnacentral:rRNA from 1 species